GGAGCAAGCGUAUGUGACAUUUUCAUUGUAUUAGAUUGUGUUGAUCCUACUAUUUCUAGCAAUUUAAGGCAUCCCAUGAUGCACCAUUUUGCAGGGAUAGGUUUUUUUCGGACUUACCCUUAAGUUUUCUUCAAUGCAAUGAUUAAAUGAACUUGUUCUUUGUCUAAUUUCAGUAUUUCUUCCAUAUUAAAUUUAGCUGCCUUACUCACUUGUUCAGGUCAUUUUUGCUGAUUUUAUGGUAAUCUGUGAUCGGUUCCAUGAGAUUUAGAAAGUGAUGCAGGGACGCCUUAAAUCAUGCUCAACAAGCUGCUAGAGUGUUCAAAAACAGAAGCAGCCUGCGGUCUACCCUAUUGGAAGCACCAUCCGUUCUUCAACCCAACUACGAGUGGAUGAGUGUCAUUGACUCGAGGGCCUGCUGGAACAUUGGAAAUGGGCAAAGGGUGAAAAUGUUGGGUGACAACUGGUUCCUGGGUCAGGCUGAGUUUGAAGUGUGGAGUCCUGCCUCAACCCUAGUGAUUCGGUUAAUCGAAGAUGACGCAAACAAUGGAAAUUGUGAGUUAUUCUUCAUCUAUUUUAAUGCUGAUUAAGAAACAAAAGAUAAAGUUCUUAGAUGAUGAGAUUCCUCACAUGAUCACACUAUCGUCACCUCAUCAUACUCCCUCACCACUGCAGCAAACACGCUUACCGUUAAUGAAUGAAAUGAUUGAGCUUGGUGAGAUGCGGUUAGAACUGUUUCGUCUCAUUAACAACACCCAAGAAGCCAUUGAUGCUGAAAGAACGAGGAAAAUCGCAAUCUUGAUGUCAUUUAGAUAGUAACUAACAACUUUUUAUUCAUUUCAAAUUGAUUUUAAUGUUAUUUUGAAUCUAUGCUUGUGUCAUGAUGAGUAGGAUGAAACUCCUUCUUCAGGUAAUGUAUCUGUCUUUUUUGCACUGACUGUGUGAUCUAACAAUCAAAUUAUUUGUCCCACUCAUUUCUUACAUACGAUAAUCACGUUGCAGUUUAGGUCCUAUACAUUGCAUUCAUACAAAGUAACUUGAAAUAGAAAGAUAUUUAGUAUGUUGUUCUUUUUCCUUUUUCACAGACUUGCCAUAAAGGUUAUUGUCACUCUUUUAUGCUUAUAAUUCCAUCAUGUCUUGCUAAUUUCUUUACUCUAAAACGUUACUCUUAAUGUCUUUUCAUGUCACAAGUCUUACUAUAUUGUCAGAGUCUUUGCAGGCAGAUACCACAGCCUUGCUAUGCACGUGUCAUGAAUAGAUUAAAAUCAGUCUUGAGGUCCUUAUGAGAGAGUGGUUAGUCCUACCAAGGUUUCAUGAUUUGCUCACUUUACUGUGACAUGUCAUCACUGUACUAAAGCUGCUUUGGGGAUAAGGAUGCUUGACCAAGUGCGUGUUAACUCAUUGCUAUCUUUAUUUGUUAUAGAUUGAUGAACUAUUUGAUGGUUUUGUUUUAUUUCCCAACAUUAUUUUGAAUCCAUUAUUAACAUGAUCGUCGG